rnacentral:rRNA from 1 species
AGCGAACGCUGGCGGCAGGCCUAACACAUGCAAGUCGAACGAACUCUUCGGAGUUAGUGGCGGACGGGUGAGUAACACGUGGGAACGUGCCUUUAGGUUCGGAAUAACUCAGGGAAACUUGUGCUAAUACCGAAUGUGCCCUUCGGGGGAAAGAUUUAUCGCCUUUAGAGCGGCCCGCGUCUGAUUAGCUAGUUGGUGAGGUAAGGGCUCACCAAGGCGACGAUCAGUAGCUGGUCUGAGAGGAUGGCCAGCCACACUGGGACUGAGAAACGGCCCCGACUCCUGCGGGAGGUAGCAGUGGGGAAUCUUGCGCAAUGGGCGAAAGCCUGACGCAGCCAUGCCGCGUGAAUGAUGAAGGUCUUAGGAUUGUAAAAUUCUUUCACCGGGGACGAUAAUGACGGUACCCGGAGAAGAAGCCCCGGCUAACUCGUGCCAGCCGCCGCGGUAA